GACGAACGCUGGCGGCGUGCCUAACACAUGCAAGUCGAGCGAUGAAACCCUUCGGGGUGGAUUAGCGGCGGACGGGUGAGUAACACGUGGGUAACCUACCUCAAAGAGGGGGAUAGCCUCCCGAAAGGGAGAUUAAUACCGCAUAACAUUAGUUUUUCGCAUGGAGAACUAAUUAAAGGAGUAAUCCGCUUUGAGAUGGACCCGCGGCGCAUUAGCUAGUUGGUGAGGUAAAGGCUCACCAAGGCGACGAUGCGUAGCCGACCUGAGAGGGUGAUCGGCCACAUUGGAACUGAGACACGGUCCAGACUCCUACGGGAGGCAGCAGUGGGGAAUAUUGCACAAUGGGCGAAAGCCUGAUGCAGCAACGCCGCGUGAGUGAUGAAGGCCUUCGGGUUGUAAAGCUCUGUCUUUUGGGACGAUAAUGACGGUACCAAAGGAGGAAGCCACGGCUAACUACGUGCCAGCCGCCGCCGUAAGAC
rnacentral:rRNA from 1 species